rnacentral:rRNA from 1 species
GACGAACGCUGGCGGCGUGCCUAACACAUGCAAGUCGAGCGAAUGAAGUUCCUUCGGGAACGGAUUUAGCGGCGGACGGGUGAGUAACACGUGGGCAACCUGCCUCAUAGAGGGGAAUAGCCUUCCGAAAGGGAGAUUAAUACCGCAUAAGAUUGUAGUACCGCAUGGUACAGCAAUUAAAGGAGCAAUCCGCUAUGAGAUGGGCCCGCGGCGCAUUAGCUAGUUGGUGAGGUAACGGCUCGCCAAGGCGACGAUGCGUAGCCGACCUGAGAGGGGGAUCGGCCACAUUGGGACGGAGACACGGCCCAGACUCCUACGGGAGGCAGCAGUGGGGAAUAUUGCACAAUGGGGGAAACCCUGAUGCAGCAACGCCGCGUGAGUGAUGACGGCCUUCGGGUUGUAAAGCUCUGUCUUCAGGGACGAUAAUGACGGUACCUGAGGAGGAAGCCACGGCUAACUACGUGCCAGCCGCCGCCGUAACAC